ACACGUUGAACGCAUAUUGCACAUCGUACUACAGUACGAUGUACACAUUUUUGAGUGCCUAUAU
rnacentral:rRNA from 1 species